CUACGGGGUGCAGCAGUGGGGAAUAUUGCACAAUGGGGGAAACCCUGAUGCAGCGACGCCGCGUGAGUGAAGAAGUAUUUCGGUAUGUAAAGCUCUAUCAGCAGGGAAGAAAAUGACGGUACCUGACUAAGAAGCCCCGGCUAACUACGUGCCAGCAGCCGCGGUAAUACGUAGGGGGCAAGCGUUAUCCGGAUUUACUGGGUGUAAAGGGAGCGUAGACGGUGAGACAAGUCUGAAGUGAAAUCCCGGGGCUCAACCCCGGAACUGCUUUGGAAACUGCCUGACUGGAGUGCAGAAGAGGUAAGUGGAAUUCCUAGUGUAGCGGUGAAAUGCGUAGAUAUUAGGAGGAACACCAGUGGCGAAGGCGGCUUACUGGACUGUAACUGACGUUGAGGCUCGAAAGCGUGGGGAGCAAACAGGAUUAGAUACCCUUGUAGUC
rnacentral:rRNA from 1 species